rnacentral:rRNA from 1 species
UACGAAGGGGGCUAGCGUUGCUCGGAAUGACUGGGCGUAAAGGGCGCGUAGGCGGAUGGCACAGUCAGAUGUGAAAUUCCCGGGCUUAACCUGGGGGCUGCAUUUGAUACGUGUGAUCUAGAGUGAGGAAGAGGGUCGUGGAAUUCCCAGUGUAGAGGUGAAAUUCGUAGAUAUUGGGAAGAACACCGGUGGCGAAGGCGGCCAUCUGGACCGCAACUGACGCUGAGGCGCGAAAGCGUGGGGAGCAAACAGG